rnacentral:rRNA from 1 species
UUGUAAACUGCUUUUGUGCAGGAAGAACGCCAGGUACGAGUACCUGAUUGACGGUACUGCAUGAAUAAGCACCGGCUAACUCCGUGC